rnacentral:rRNA from 1 species
UUGAACGCUGGCGGCAGGCCUAACACAUGCAAGUCGAGCGGAUGAAGGGAGCUUGCUCCUGGCUUCAGCGGCGGACGGGUGAGUAAUGCCUAGGAAUCUGCCUGGUAGUGGGGGAUAACGUCCGGAAACGGGCGCUAAUACCGCAUACGUCCUGAGGGAGAAAGUGGGGGAUCUUCGGACCUCACGCUAUCAGAUGAGCCUAGGUCGGAUUAGCUAGUUGGUGGGGUAAAGGCCUACCAAGGCGACGAUCCGUAACUGGUCUGAGAGGAUGAUCAGUCACACUGGAACUGAGACACGGUCCAGACUCCUACGGGAGGCAGCAGUGGGGAAUAUUGGACAAAGGGCGAAAGCCUGAUCCAGCCAUGCCGCGUGUGUGAAGAAGGUCUUCGGAUUGUAAAGCACUUUAAGUUGGGAGGAAGGGCAGUAAGUUAAUACCUUGCUGUUUUGACGUUACCAACAGAAUAAGCACCGGCUAACUUCGUG